rnacentral:rRNA from 1 species
CUAAGUACAGACGUAGGAGGAGCGACCGGCAUCCGCUGCGGCCAAGGAGAGCCCUACCGCCUCCACACCUAGAUAAACGGUACCCGGCCCGGCCACUUAAUCCAAGCCACAGUACACGGCUAUAGACCAAAACCAAAACACCCGCCUAGCCAAAACCUAGAUCCAAAAGGAACAACCACUUCAAAGCGCAAAAAAAACAAUAGCUUCGGUUCAGUGAUGUCAUAUUGCGCCCCGCAAAGGAAGUUUCGACAGCUAACAUGCCUCUACCUUUACCGGGGACUUAAUAACAUACCUGUUUUACAUAUACAAGGUUGACGACAUUUAAGGAUAUGUAUACCAAUACGUCUUCAACCUAGUGGAUACCUAACCAUAUUGGUAGUCUUGAGAGAUCCCAUACUACGAGUUCUACAAAUAAAAGGCCGAAAGGUCUGACUGCCGUGUGUCACACAAAUGAUACGAUGGGGACUGUUACCUAGUCAAGUAGGAAGGAUGUCGGGAAUGGGAUACCUAGGACCAAUGUAUCAACUACCUAGAAUAGACGGUGUUCUUAUACAGGGACUACGACUGGGAUGUACGGUUAAAGUCUUAGUGAGUUACUACGGUUAACAAGUCAACGUAUUGAGUGAAGGUUACUUCGUUCUCGACCCUUUACCCAGGUACCACGGACAAUUUGGAGAAGUAUGGGGUGUCCGUGGAUGUUUACACGAACUGUCAGGUUACCGACGACGGUUCGUAAGUGGUUUCCGUUUUAAUAGACCUUUACUAACAAAACGCACACAGCCUAGACUAGGAGUCUUCACCCGAAGUCGACUCUUUAAAGUCGGAUGAAGCUUCAGCUCACCAGUUGAUUUCCGUGUACCGAGAUCAUUACGCCUCUUUGUAUCGCCGGUUUCCAGUGGUCGGUAUCAACGUUUUAGGAUGUGCAGUUCCGACUAACAACCCUUGAGUCUACCCUGUUAGUAAUAUUCUGGACUGGUUAUGUUGCCAUUACUGGAGGCUCACCUGUUAGGGAUACGUUUCAAGAAGCAAUAGUUCAGUUAACCACUCCGCCUAUAGGUGUUUAGUUAAUUCAUACCACAUACCAGAUCAAGGAGGUCACCUUUAUCGUUCGACCUAACGCGUAUAUCCCUACGACUGGCUUAUCGAUUCGCCUUAAGAUGUUUCACAGGUCAAAAAGACAAGAAAAGACACUUACCAUCGCCCGUGAAAACACCGAACCGGCUCUACCAACCAGGACAGCUAAAAGUAUUCCUGUACCUGAAGACCACGGUCCUAUUUACCUGACCAACGAAAGGACAUUCUACCGUAUAUUAGUUUCUGCAUGGAUUGAUAUGAAACGUCUUAUAGAACGAAGUCUUAUUACUUUUAUUCGGACAGUGUGUGUCGUCUCUAUGGGUUCUCCAGGGUAUACAAGGACCUUAUAGACACGAGUUCUAGAACUUCCUAUAGUUUCACUUCCUCACGGAUAAACUGCUAAAAUACUCUAUGCUCCUUCUACUUCGUUCUUAAUUCGUCACGUCUACCAGGUUCAACUCAGUGUUACGAGGUCUAAAACACGGACAGAGUGUCGCAUUCUCGCUACGGAGUCUAGAAGUCUACGGUUUUAAACCACCACACGACUAUCUGUCUUGUAACCUCUAUGUCUUGUACAGUCUCUUCGGUGUACUAACAUUACCGUAGUUUGUUGUCCUACGACAACUUUUUGUUCAACCAUCACUCCGACCCUUUCUUUUACCCGUAGUUCUUUUGGCAAAAAUACCGUUCGUCCUAUUACUUUUUCGCGGAUCUAGAAGUUGAUCGGUCGGUGUUUGAAGUUGGAACUUUUACUCGUACCUACCCUUCGUUGUUAUGACCUUCUUCCACCUUUUGGGAUUUGGCUUAGGACUACCACGACCUGUACCUAGCAGUUUUAACGCACUCUUGCCUCAAUUAUAAUCGAGCCGUUAACAGUCUAACCUCCGUGGACUUCUACUAAGUUAACAACGCUUUCAACCAAGAGAAUGUUAGUCAAGGUUCUGUUCCUUCCGACUUCUAUUCUCAGGGAACCAACUACAACACUGGUAACCGAGCAACGGUUAGGCCCAGUUGUUUAGACAACGAAUCACCCCCGAUGGAAAAACGCAAAGAGAAGGACCAGGACGAGGUCAACAAUAAGGUCGAAAUGCCCGCUACUUUUUCUUUUCUGAUGAAUGUAAGAUCAAAGGACCAGUUCUCUUGUCAACAAAAUAAAACCUUUCCUUCCUACCUUGUACCUUCCUGUCAUGUUCUACAUUAAGAGAAAUUUUAAUUUUUUCUUACUUCUACUUUCAUUUGCCCCUUAGACGUAAGUGAAAA